rnacentral:rRNA from 1 species
GAAGAAAGAGGGAGGAGGGAGGAACACAUGCAAGUCGAACGGAAAGGCCCUGCUUUUGUGGGGUGCUCGAGUGGCGAACGGGUGAGUAACACGUGAGUAACCUGCCCUUGACUUUGGGAUAACUUCAGGAAACUGGGGCUAAUACCGGAUAGGAGCUCCUGCUGCAUGGUGGGGGUUGGAAAGUUUCGGCGGUUGGGGAUGGACUCGCGGCUUAUCAGCUUGUUGGUGGGGUAGUGGCUUACCAAGGCUUUGACGGGUAGCCGGCCUGAGAGGGUGACCGGCCACAUUGGGACUGAGAUACGGCCCAGACUCCUACGGGAGGCAGCAGUGGGGAAUAUUGCACAAUGGGCGGAAGCCUGAUGCAGCAACGCCGCGUGCGGGAUGACGGCCUUCGGGUUGUAAACCGCUUUCGCCUGUGACGAAGCGUGAGUGACGGUAAUGGGUAAAGAAGCACCGGCUAACUACGUG